UUGGCGGACGGGUGAGUAACGGCGUGGGGAACCUGCCCUGUACAGGGGGAUAACACGUUAGAAAUAGGUGCUAAUACCGCAUAAGCGCACAGUAUCGCAUGAUACAGUGUGAAAAACUCCGGUGGUACAGGAUGGACCCGCGUCUGAUUAGCUGGUUGGCGGGGUAACGGCCCACCAAGGCGACGAUCAGUAGCCGGCCUGAGAGGGUGAACGGCCACAUUGGGACUGAGACACGGCCCAAACUCCUACGGAAGGCAGCAG
rnacentral:rRNA from 1 species